UGAGAACCAAUGGGAAGGAGCCUGAGC
rnacentral:piRNA from 1 species